rnacentral:sRNA from 1 species
CUGACAUCAUUGUAGACUAAAUUCCUCUGUUUAUCCACUAAAUAAGUACAGAAGAGGCAGUGACAGUGCAAGCUUCCCCACAUCACUCCAGAAAGUGCCUCAACUCUGACCUAGAGAGAUCACCUACAAGGUUAAGAGGUUAAUUCUGUCACCAUCACCACUGAAUCUUCGUCUCUC